ensembl:snoRNA
AAUAAGUAUCAAAGAUACAGCUGUUUUCCCAUUUAAACAGCAGUCAAAAAAGAGCCCAAAGUGACAGUUUUCCUGUCUGGCCACUAUUCUGUUGUCUGUAUCUGAUUUAUGACAUUUUGGGAAAACACAGCU